AGGAGGUAGGUGAGACCGACCGUGAGAACGAACACAGGUGAGAAGCAGGAAGCAUGGCGUUGCUUGGGGUUGCGAGGCUGGUCGCUUUGGUGCUCUUGGCAGUCUUCUGUUCGUCGCUUCAUCAACAAGCAGGCGUUGGUGCUAUUAGGUUGCAUGACAGAAGGCAGCACGCCCAGCAGUGGACGGAGGAGAGGGAUCGGUUUAGGUCAUACAUGACCAUGGACUACCAUCCAUGGCGCCGGCGCGUGCCGAAGCACAACUGAUUCAGCUAGUUGGCCUCGCGUAGCAUCAUCAGGAAGCCUGAUGCUUUCAGCUCCCUGUCCAUUCUUCAGGCUCCAGCAGCAGCAGCAGCAUUCAACGAAGCAUGAUGGGAGACAGGACAAAACGGGCGUUCUGAUGAUCUCAGCUCACUGUCGAUUAAUCAGUCUGCAGCAGCAUUAGCAGCAUCUUGUUGAAGGCUUGAAGCAUGAUGACAGACGGGAGAAGUUGAUGUUUUGAUUCUUUUCCUUGCAGCUGUAUGUGUAUCUACGUGUCCAGCGUGCAGCUCUACGCACGCAAAUUUUGCCCUCCUUACCAAAGGUUAUUUGCUAGAUAUUAUAUAUACCCACCAGUUAUAGCACUAGUACUAGUAAUUAGUGUUUAGUCUCUGUUACAUCUUUGUAAUAAGUUUAAGGUCUUGUAGUUUGGUUGGUUAGUAGAGAGUAGCCGCUUUUUCUGUAAGUGAAGUAGGAGCUAGAGUGAAAUGUUCAGACCUGGAAAUGCUUAUGUACUGAACAUGCCGAUCAUAAGGGAAUAAGUGAACUGAAGGAGCAUUUGCUACACUGUUCCUCUGGUAGUUCAA